rnacentral:rRNA from 1 species
AUGAACAUAGCCCUUCUAACGCGAUGGUUGUGGCGGAUUGCCAACGGAGAAGGGGGCCUGUGGCUGCGCCUCAUUCAGCAGAAAUACCUCCUUGGCCAGCCACUUGCCUUCUGCCAGGGAUCCGGAGGAUCACAAUUCUGGCAGUCCAUCAUCCAGCUCCUACCGAUACUACGCAUUGGAACAUCGAUCGCGGUUGGAUCGGGUACCUCCACAAUGUUUUGGUUCGACAAAUGGGUUGGGGACUCCCCCCUUGCUGCCUGGUUUCCCCUUUUCUCCAUCGCAGUUGAUCCUCGGAUCUCUGUCGGGACGGCCCUUAUUGACUUAGGGCACCUCGUGUUUCGGCGUGCGUUUGGCCCGGCUGAGAACGCGGACUGGCUUGAGCUGCUGGAAUGCAUAGCGUUGCACGAGCCUGCUCUCGAGAUGGGUGAAGACCGCUCCAGAUGGCGGCUAGAGCCAUCAGGGAAAUUUUCCACAAAAUCUCUAUACCAGGCCAUUGCACCUUCGAUGGGGCAUGAGGCUCUCACUUCCAUUUGGGAAAUUCAGCUCCCUCUGAAGAUUAGGAUUUUCUUGUGGCAAUGGAUUCGCGGGCGUCUCCCCUCUGGCGUAGAGGCAUUGAAGCGCAACGGUCCAGGGGAUGGGCGAUGCCCGCUCUGCGGGCCUGAAGAGGACUCUAACCAUAUCUUCUUCUCCUGCUUGUCCGCGCAGUUCCUUUGGAGCUAUUUCCGCGAAUUAGUGGGUGGAAGCUAG